rnacentral:rRNA from 1 species
UACGGAGGGAGCUAGCGUUGUUCGGAUAUACUGGGCGUAAAGCGCACGUAGGCGGCGCCGUAAGUCAGGGGUGAAAUCCCGGAGCUCAACUCCGGAACUGCCCUUGAAACUGCAGUGCUAGAAUCCUGGAGAGGCGAGUGGAAUUCCGAGUGUAGAGGUGAAAUUCGUAGAUAUUCGGAAGAACACCAGUGGCGAAGGCGGUCAACUGGCCUCAUAUUGACACUCAGACGCGAAGGCAUGGGUAGCGAACGGG